GACGAACGCUGGCGGCGUGCUUAACACAUGCAAGUCGAACGGAAAGGCCCUGCUUUUGUGGGGUGCUCGAGUGGCGAACGGGUGAGUAACACGUGAGUAACCUGCCCUUGACUUUGGGAUAACUUCAGGAAACUGGGGCUAAUACCGGAUAGGAGCUCCUGCUGCAUGGUUGGGGUUGGAAAGUUUCGGCGGUUGGGGAUGGACUCGCGGCUUAUCAGCUUGUUGGUGGGGUAGUGGCUUACCAAGGCUUUGACGGGUAGCCGGCCUGAGAGGGUGACCGGCCACAUUGGGACUGAGAUACGGCCCAGACUCCUACGGGAGGCAGCAGUGGGGAAUAUUGCACGAUGGGCGGAAGCCUGAUGCAGCAACGCCGCGUGCGGGAUGACGGCCUUCGGGUUGUAAACCGCUUUCGCCUGUGACGAAGCGUGAGUGACGGUAAUGGGUAAAGAAGCACCGGCUAACUACGUG
rnacentral:rRNA from 1 species